rnacentral:rRNA from 1 species
UUGAACUGAAGAGUUUGAUCCUGGCUCAGAUUGAACGCUGGCGGCAUGCCUUACACAUGCAAGUCGAACGGCAGCACGGGCUUCGGCCUGGUGGCGAGUGGCGAACGGGUGAGUAAUACAUCGGAACAUGUCCUGUAGUGGGGGAUAGCCCGGCGAAAGCCGGAUUAAUACCGCAUACGAUCCACGGAUGAAAGCGGGGGACCUUCGGGCCUCGCGCUAUAGGGUUGGCCGAUGGCUGAUUAGCUAGUUGGUGGGGUAAAGGCCUACCAAGGCGACGAUCAGUAGCUGGUCUGAGAGGACGACCAGCCACACUGGGACUGAGACACGGCCCAGACUCCUACGGGAGGCAGC